rfam:Salmo salar isolate Sally breed double haploid chromosome ssa15, whole genome shotgun sequence.
AAUGCACCAAUUUGUAAGUCGCUCUGGAUAAGAGCGUCUGCUAAAUGUAAAUGU